rnacentral:lncRNA from 1 species
AGACCUGAGCUUCGGGGACAGGAGCAGUGGCCUAUCAUCUCUCCUUGGUGUCUCUGCUAUUGAAAACACUUGUCCUGAAGAUGGGGACCACCUGAAGAGAUGCCUAGGGAACAGACCCCCCUUAAAAUUUGACAAGGAUAUAUCCUGGGACCUAGGGAGCACAGACCAAGUGGGGCUAGCGUUCUCACAGUAGGACAUCGAGGUGUCUGGGAAAGAGACUUUGGCAGGUCCAGCUGUAUUCGAGCUUGGAGAUUCAGACUCAGGCUCCCACGCUUGUGUGGCAAGUGCCAUAUCUGCU